rnacentral:lncRNA from 1 species
AGGCUUGUAGCGUUGCAGGUACCGUAUCAUAUCGUGUCGUGCUGAGCCGUGAAACGCGAAUCUCGCGAACGACACGAAUUCACAAGCACUGAUAGAUUGAUGCUGCGCAUCUGGGAUGCCUUUGAAGGCAUGUACCUGCAGUUUGACGCUUAAUUUUGCACUGCCAUCCAGUGAAAACAGCUGGAAGUUCUGACAUAGAGUGCCAAGUAUGAAGCGGUCACAUUCAGAAGCAGGGACGGGUUGG